UUUUGUAUAAUGGGUCAGCGACUUAUAUUCUGUAGCAAGGUUAACCGAAUAGGGGAGCCGAAGGGAAACCGAGUCUUAACUGGGCGUUAAGUUGCAGGGUAUAGACCCGAAACCCGGUGAUCUAGCCAUGGGCAGGUUGAAGGUUGGGUAACACUAACUGGAGGACCGAACCGACUAAUGUUGAAAAAUUAGCGGAUGACUUGUGGCUGGGGGUGAAAGGCCAAUCAAACCGGGAGAUAGCUGGUUCUCCCCGAAAGCUAUUUAGGUAGCGCCUCGUGAAUUCAUCUCCGGGGGUAGAGCACUGUUUCGGCAAGGGGGUCAUCCCGACUUACCAACCCGAUGCAAACUGCGAAUACCGGAGAAUGUUAUCACGGGAGACACACGGCGGGUGCUAACGUCCGUCGUGAAGAGGGAAACAACCCAGACCGCCAGCUAAGGUCCCAAAGUCAUGGUUAAGUGGGAAACGAUGUGGGAAGGCCCAGACAGCCAGGAUGUUGGCUUAGAAGCAGCCAUCAUUUAAAGAAAGCGUAAUAGCUCACUGGUCGAGUCGGCCUGCGCGGAAGAUGUAACGGGGCUAAACCAUGCACCGAAGCUGCGGCAGCGACGCUUAUGCGUUGUUGGGUAGGGGAGCGUUCUGUAAGCCUGUGAAGGUGUGCUGUGAGGCAUGCUGGAGGUAUCAGAAGUGCGAAUGCUGACAUAAGUAACGAUAAAGCGGGUGAAAAGCCCGCUCGCCGGAAGACCAAGGGUUCCUGUCCAACGUUAAUCGGGGCAGGGUGAGUCGACCCCUAAGGCGAGGCCGAAAGGCGUAGUCGAUGGGAAACAGGUUAAUAUUCCUGUACUUGGUGUUACUGCGAAGGGGGGACGGAGAAGGCUAUGUUGGCCGGGCGACGGUUGUCCCGGUUUAAGCGUGUAGGCUGGUUUUCCAGGCAAAUCCGGAAAAUCAAGGCUGAGGCGUGAUGACGAGGCACUACGGUGCUGAAGCAACAAAUGCCCUGCUUCCAGGAAAAGCCUCUAAGCAUCAGGUAACAUCAAAUCGUACCCCAAACCGACACAGGUGGUCAGGUAGAGAAUACCAAGGCGCUUGAGAGAACUCGGGUGAAGGAACUAGGCAAAAUGGUGCCGUAACUUCGGGAGAAGGCACGCUGAUAUGUAGGUGAAGCGACUUGCUCGUGGAGCUGAAAUCAGUCGAAGAUACCAGCUGGCUGCAACUGUUUAUUAAAAACACAGCACUGUGCAAACACGAAAGUGGACGUAUACGGUGUGACGCCUGCCCGGUGCCGGAAGGUUAAUUGAUGGGGUUAGCGGUAACGCGAAGCUCUUGAUCGAAGCCCCGGUAAACGGCGGCCGUAACUAUAACGGUCCUAAGGUAGCGAAAUUCCUUGUCGGGUAAGUUCCGACCUGCACGAAUGGCGUAAUGAUGGCCAGGCUGUCUCCACCCGAGACUCAGUGAAAUUGAACUCGCUGUGAAGAUGCAGUGUACCCGCGGCAAGACGGAAAGACCCCGUGAACCUUUACUAUAGCUUGACACUGAACAUUGAGCCUUGAUGUGUAGGAUAGGUGGGAGGCUUUGAAGUGUGGACGCCAGUCUGCAUGGAGCCGGCCUUGAAAUACCACCCUUUAAUGUUUGAUGUUCUAACGUUGGCCCCUGAUCGGGGUUGCGGACAGUGUCUGGUGGGUAGUUUGACUGGGGCGGUCUCCUCCUAAAGAGUAACGGAGGAGCACGAAGGUUGGCUAAUCCUGGUCGGACAUCAGGAGGUUAGUGCAAUGGCAUAAGC
rnacentral:rRNA from 1 species